rfam:Blumeria graminis f. sp. hordei DH14, WGS project CATH01000000 data, contig: 005086
GGGGUUCUGGCCGAGUGGUUAAGGCGCUGUGUUUAGGUCACCAUGUGUCCGCAGUGGGAAACCGCGCAGGUUCGAAUCCUGCGGACCUCA